AGGAGGAUAUUCCACAAGUGAUCGGUAUGUUACUAAUCAGGUUCCUUUUCAGUUUAUUUUCACGUUAAUCUUUGUUUGGUCAUGAGCAUGGCAUCUGAAUGGCGUAGUUAGAUCUUUUCCUUGCAUUUUUCAAAGCCACCAUAUGGGAUUAGAUGAUGUUGAAAUUGAUUUGUGCUAAUUGAUGUGUGAAUCCCAUUGCAGAUUUCAGAGAGGGUGCUUGUUU
rnacentral:misc_RNA from 1 species